AGAGUUUGAUCAUGGCUCAGGACGAACGCUUGCCGUGCCUAAGAAACGCAAGUCGAGCGAGGUAGCAAUACCUAGCGGCGAACGGUCGCGUAACACGUAAGCAACCUGCCCCAAAGACCGGGACAACGUUCCGAAAGGAGCGCUAAUACCGGAUGUGCCCGUCGGGUGACAUCGCCUGGGAGUAAAUCGAGCAAUCGGCUUUGGGAGGGGCUUGCGGCCUAUCAGCUAGAUGGUGGGGUAACGGCCUACCAUGGCGACGACGGGUAGCUGGUCUGAGAGGAUGGUCAGCCGGAUUGGGACUGAGAUACGGCCCAGACUCCUACGGGGGGCAGCAAUUAGGAAUCUUGCGCAAUGGGCGAAAGCCUGACGCAGCGACGUCGCGUGGGGGAGGAAGGCUUUCGGGUUGUAAACCCCUUUUGUCGAGGAAGAAACAAAUGACGGUACUCGACGAAUAAGCCCCGGCUAACUCCGUGCCAGCAGCCGCGGUAAUACGGAGGGGGCGAGCGUUGUCCGAAGUUACUGGGCGUAAAGCGCGCGUAGGCGGGUUGGUAAGUCCGCUGUGAAAGCCCGGAGCUUAACUCCGGAGGGUCGGUGGAUACUGCCAGUCUUGAAGGUGCUAGGGGGAGAUGGAAUUACCGGUGUAGCGGUGAAAUGCGUAGAUAUCGGUAGGAACACCAGUGGCGAAGGCGGUCUCCUGGGGCAUUCUUGACGCUGAGGCGCGAAAGCUGGGGGAGCAAACGGGAUUAGAUACCCUAGUAGUCC
rnacentral:rRNA from 1 species